UUCCCAUGCGCUUGAGCACGCGGCUUUUUUUUUAUUAUUUGUGAUUUCGCGCUUAAUAAAAUAAUAAUAAUACGAAUUAGCAAUGGGUGAUUAGUGUUUAAAUGUGUUUUUUAUUGUUUUCAAAGCAUACAUAGGUUUUUGGUCGCGUCGCUUAAAUCUCGUGUGUGUGUGUGUGUAAGUGAAAUGCGCAGCAGCCCAGCAAAGGGUUUUUUGUUGUUUAUUUUGAUUAAAACAAUAAAAAGCGGUUAAAUAUGAAUAUUUAGUGGUUUUGUUGAAAUAAAGUGUGCUUUAUUUAAUGUAAAAUGAUCAACACACGUGAAAUUGUGAUGGCGCAAGGGGCCUGUAUGUAAUAACUGUGUAUAUAUGUACAUAUGUACAUAUAUACAUAUGUACGCCCUUUACGUAUUAAGUGUGUAUUUGCGUAUAAAAUCAAUCUUCCAACCACUUGAAGGUUGAUUUUCAUCAUCUUUUGGCACAGAUGGUUAAUAUUACAUUUGUCACAAUAUAUGGAGAGCCAACCAUAGUCUGUGCAUCAUCGACGACGACGACUGCCCCGGCAUCAGGGGGCAUCAAAGUGGAAUUGGAUUCAUCUGGAAGAGGCGGGUCAUAAUUGAAGAUAUGAUGCUCCAUGCCCCAUGCCCCAUACCCCAGCCAUGAGCAAAGGUGACACCAAAGGGAAGACCUUCGACUGGCAAUAAAAUAAAUGCCAUUUACUGAUGAGUCAUCAGCAUAAUUUUUACGAUUUGUCCCAUUCGAUGAAUAAACAAAUAAACCAAUGGACACGGGAGCUGGGACCCGGGACUCAGGACCCUCUGGAUUGGACUCUAGUUUGAGCGUGUCACGAAAACAUUUCGCAUGCAUUGACUUUUUAUGGCAGCCCCAAACCGAGUGAACCGAACGCACGAAUCGAAAAGCCACAUGGACCGACGAGAGAGAGAGGCGGAGAGGGGCACACAGAGAGGGGUAUCCACAAAUAAUGCAAAAUCAUUUAGUGGAACUCCUAGGCACACACACCGUACAGAUGCUCGCACCCCCCUCCCGCCUCAAAGUCAUAAAAUCCGGCACCGAAUGAAAUUCUCAUCAAGACGCAAGUUGGCACAAUUUCAGUUUGGCGCUGAAGCAACUUGAAAACACGACCAAAAUGAGCCCGAAUCGCAGUAGGAGUCGUUGCCACAGCCCACAGGACUCUCGGCAGUGGUCAGGCAUGGGGCCAGCAUCGUGCUGCUGCCGCUGCCGCUGCUACUCCUGCUCCUGGCAAUCGCGCGUGACUAACGUAAUCAGCUCACGUAACGCCUGAAUGAGAUGAGAUGAAAUCAGCAUACACUCCGGGCCACGCAGGACUAUGCUCUCCUACGCUGCCGUCGCUCCGCACCGAUUCCGACUGCAUAAAUGUCGAAUUUAUACGAAAAUGAAGCGGCGCAGGCCAUUCGACCAGCUGCUGGGGCAUCAUUCACACGGCCACCAGAUGCUUUGAGGGGUAAGUACCACCCCCCUAACGAAAUGUUUUGUAGAUCUUUGACACGCGAUACUGCCCUGGCCGGGCCGUCUUUGGUGGGUGUUCGGAUGCAAAACGAUCGCUGGAGCUGGGGAUCUUGGGAGCUUAAAGGAGGGACAAUGGAGAGAUCUAUAAAUGGGAUUCUUGGACAUUAACGAAAGAGGAGAUUUGUAAAUGGGAACCUUUUGGAAGCCUAUAAGUUAUAUCUAAUCGUAUCUACUGGCAGGAAUCAAGUACUUAUAUGAUUACUGCCUUCGAACAAGCGAGCAGAGCGGAUUCCAUUUAAAUGCAAAGACCUAUCAUUAGACUCUUACAUCUACAAUUCCCCAACGCCCGCGCGCGAGAGAGAGAGAGAUCAACAAUUGUGGUGGCUUCAGCGGCGAUUUAAGCGCUGGGCACACGCAAUCCCCCUGCCCCGUCUAUGGAGAGCCUGCCCUAUAAAGUAGAUUUGCAUGCGACGCCCCAGAGACCCCUCUUGGCUGUGGGGCGGGGGGCUGGCAUCCCCAAUUGAAUGGGGGACUGGCGCGAAUCCGUUGAUGUGAUGACAGGAGUGGCUGCAAAUGGGGAAAAACGCACAGAACACAAGAUAUCUCUGGCAUGUCGUCCUAGCAGGCUGUUUACUGAAGCCUCCGCUGAAGUACUGCUGAAUAGGGGCUGUAGAAGCGACUCAGGAAGGCCGUCGAAUCUAAGACCUGGAAAUUAUGAUUGUUACCCAGCCAGCAGCUCAGGGCAAAGCUGUUGUCCGGAUGUUUAAUGCGUGGCAUUUCGAUUCCUACCCACGUCCACCACGCGGCACAGGUUCCUAUUGAGGUUGUGGAGAUUCUUCUGUCCAUCCACCAUCCACCGAUAGCUGGUGUAGGCAAAGGGAUCGUGGCUUCCAGCAGAAGAAAGGCAGUGAUGUCCUGCUCCAAGCUCUGCAAGCUAAUAGGUCCAUGCACUUCAGAAUAGCGUUGAUCGCCAGGACCACGGUAUACGGUGGCUGAAUGUAGAACGGCCUCACGGACAUAGGUUCCUCCAGCAUUUUCCGAGAAUACUGCAGGACUAACGGCUCCGAAAAUGGCAAUUUCCAUUCGAGAGAGAUCGUAGCGGGGGUCCAAGAAGGAACAGAGUAUCUGUUUUUGGAUGAUUAUCGAGUCUUUAAGUCUUAAUCCCAAGGAUUACUGUACACUCGGAGAGCCAAGAAUCCUAACAACUGCAUUACAUUGAAUGCCCCGCCCGAAGGCGACUAAAUUUAGUUGGGAAAUUUAUGGCAAUUGCUCAAGCAAAGCAUUAAUCCCAUUUAAAUGUCCUCCGACUUGUGGAAUCAACAGGCGGUUGCAACACAAUCACAACCUAAUGCAUCCGCCGAGGCAGAGAGUGAGAGAGAGCGAGAGAGAGAAAGGAAGGAAGGAUGUACCAGAGCUGCAGUCGGUCGUCCCCCUCCUGUUUUCUGGGGGGUUCCUAAUGUAUGAUUAUGUCCGAAACACAAAGCAUACGCCAAGGACAACGAGGAGGAGGUGGCAGAGUGUGGAGUGCGGAGUGUGGCUGGCGAUUGGUCAACGAGGCGAGGCGAGGCGAGGCGAGGCGUUGUGUUGCAUCCUCCAUGUAAGCAAAGUACCGUCCGCCCGGUUCAGCCCCAUUUAUUUGCAUCCGAAAUUUGCACAUGUUCAAAUCGAGAUUUACGACGGCGAGUGACAUCAUUAAUCAAGCGCCUGAUUGGUGAUCCUGUUCCUGUUAAUUAAUACAAUAAUGGAUUGCGUGGCUUCUACCAGGGGACGACUCUCUUCGGAGUCCUUCGAAAGACGACAAAAGGCUGCUGCUUCGCAGGAUUUACGGCAAACGGAGAAGGCAAGUGCGCACCGCAAGUGCGUGUAGCCGGCCAAAAAGGAUAAAAGCUAGAACUUACAGGACAGCAAAGGAAAAAAGACUAACGCAUCUCCUUCCACCGCCUGAAACAUUGAUUUAAAAUUUACAACGGUCAUGGCAAAGGUUGCUGCAACAUGGCCAUAUGUUGCAUUGAUUUAUCAUUGGGAUAGGCGAUGUGGCAGCCAAAAUGGAAAUCUGUUGCAGCUGCUACCGGUACACUGUCUCCUAGAUAAAUUCUCAGCCAAAACAAAACAUCAGAGCAGGUGAUGGGAUGGGAUGGGAUG
rnacentral:sRNA from 1 species